AUUUCUGUUAACCACUUCAUAUAGUUUUCUUUGAAUAUUCGUAAAAAAUCCUUACAGAAAUAAAAUACUCCCAAAUAUUUAGUUAAAAUUUCGGGAACAUUGGUUUGCG